rnacentral:rRNA from 1 species
CUCGACCUCAGAUCAAGCGAGAAUACCCGCUGAAUUUAAGCAUAUAAAUAAGCGGAGGAAAAGAAACCAAACA